GGGCAAAACAGGAAAGAACCUGACUCCCUGAUGAUAUUGUCCAGCCCCUGAUUCACCAGCCCCGCCCCCUGGGCUUCUUAUAGUGGUGAUAAUUAAUUCCUUCUUUUGGGGCCUUUUGGGUCAGACUUUUCUGCUACUUGUGGCCAAAGCACUUUUACUCAAUGGUUUUCAAACAUUUUUAAUCAAAUCUCAUUGUGAAAAUAUUUUACAUUGGAAUCCAGUGAGAUUCCAGAGCCCACCUCACAGCCCCCCAGGUACA
rnacentral:lncRNA from 1 species